UACAGAGGGGGCGAGCGUUGUUCGGAAUUACUGGGCGUAAAGGGAGCGUAGGCGGAUAGUUUAGUCAGAGGUGAAAUCCCGGGGCUCAACCUCGGAACUGCCUUUGAUACUGGCUAUCUUGAGUAUGGGAGAGGUGUGUGGAACUCCGAGUGUAGAGGUGAAAUUCGUAGAUAUUCGGAAGAACACCAGUGGCGAAGGCGACUCGCUGGACAGGUAUUGACGCUGAGGUGCGAAAGCGUGGGGAGCAAACAGG
rnacentral:rRNA from 1 species